rnacentral:rRNA from 1 species
CUGGUCUACGGGAGGCAGCAGUAGGGAAUCUUCCACAAUGGACGAAAGUCUGAACGAGCGAUGCCGCGUGAGUGAAGAAGGCCUUCGGGUCGUAAAGCUCUGUUGCGGGGGAAAAAAGGCAGCAUCAGGAAAUGGGUGCUGACUGAUGGUGCCCCGCCAGAAAGUCACGGCUAACUACGUGCCAGCAGCCGCGGUAAUACGUAGGUGGCGAGCGUUAUCCGGAAUGAUUGGGCGUAAAGGGUGCGCAGGCGGUCCUGCAAGUCUGGAGUGAAACGCAUGAGCUCAACUCAUGCAUGGCUUUGGAA